rnacentral:lncRNA from 1 species
UGAAGACGAAGGAGGUGCCACAAUGGAUGUCGACAGCGAUGACGAGUAGAUGUUUUAAUGUAGAAGGUACUAUCUUCAUUCAUGUUGCAUAAUGUUUUCCUUUGCUACUGCAAUAUCCUGUUGCUGUUUACACACUACAUGCUUGUUCAGUACAGUACAUGGGAGACUGAGGUGUUUAUCCACUACAAGUUUCUUCAGUUCAGUACAUCGUCUCUUGUUGCAUAUGUACAGUUUGAAUGCACUUCUAAUUUUGAAAUAUUCGACAGGCGUUGCUGACAAGGCUGAGAAGGAGAUGCUGAAAAAAGGUUGUGCUGCAAGCUUAAGUUGGUCUGUACAGUGCUUUUGGCUCUGUAAUACUGUCAUCUACAAUGGUAGUAUCUGGAGUUUUAUUUUGUUUGCCUUGAUACGGCAAUGACCGCUGAUCCUUGUUGUGAUCCGUAUCAGAGUUAUAGUUUGUCAGUGUGUUAACGAAGUCGUUGUGGUUGUAAUCCUUCUUGUAUGCCUGACAAUAUAUCGUUGUGGUUGUAAUCCUUCUUGUAUGCCUGACAAUAUAUUAUCUCUGUACCGGCUGUUGUGAGGAUGGCAUUUGUGUGCUGUCAUUCGCUAUUCAGGUACACAAAUUAUUCCUGAAAUUCAUAUGGCUCAUGUAUG